UCCUACGGGAGGCAGCAGUGGGGAAUAUUGCACAAUGGGCGCAAGCCUGAUGCAGCGACGCCGCGUGGGGGAUGACGGCCUUCGGGUUGUAAACUCCUUUCGCUAGGGACGAAGCUUUUGUGACGGUACCUAGAUAAGAAGCACCGGCUAACUACGUGCCAGCAGCCGCGGUAAUACGUAGGGUGCGAGCGUUGUCCGGAAUUACUGGGCGUAAAGGGCUCGUAGGUGGUUUGUCGCGUCGUCUGUGGAAUUCCGGGGCUUAACUCCGGGCGUGCAGGCGAUACGGGCAUAACUUGAGUACUGUAGGGGUAACUGGAAUUCCUGGUGUAGCGGUGAAAUGCGCAGAUAUCAGGAGGAACACCGAUGGCGAAGGCAGGUUACUGGGCAGUUACUGACGCUGAGGAGCGAAAGCAUGGGUAGCGAACAGGAUUAGAUACCCUGGUAGUCCAUGCCGUAAACGGUGGGCGCUAGGUGUGAGGGUCUUUUCACGACUUUCGUGCCGUAGCUAACGCAUUAAGCGUCCCGCCUGGGGAGUACGGCCGCAAGGCUAAAACUCAAAGGAAUUGACGGGGGCCCGCACAAGCGGCGGAGCAUGUGGAUUAAUUCGAUGCAACGCGAAGAACCUUACCUGGGCUUGACAUAUAGCGGAUCGCUGCAGAGAUGUAGUUUCCCUUUGUGGUCGUUAUACAGGUGGUGCAUGGUUGUCGUCAGCUCGUGUCGUGAGAUGUUGGGUUAAGUCCCGCAACGAGCGCAACCCUUGUCUUAUGUUGCCAGCAUUUGGUUGGGGACUCAUGAGAGACUGCCGGGGUCAACUCGGAGGAAGGUGGGGAUGACGUCAAAUCAUCAUGCCCCUUAUGUCCAGGGCUUCACACAUGCUACAAUGGUCGGUACAACGCGCAGCGACACUGUGAGGUGGAGCGAAUCGCUGAAAGCCGGCCUUAGUUCGGAUUGGGGUCUGCAACUCGACCCCAUGAAGUCGGAGUCGCUAGUAAUCGCAGAUCAGCAACGCUGCGGUGAAUACGUUCCCGGGCCUUGUACACACCGCC
rnacentral:rRNA from 1 species